AUGAUUUGGCAGGUUAAGAGCUCAGCUUUGGAGUAUAAAGAAUUCUUUUGGAGAGAGGAACACUCGGCUGUGCAGAGAAUAGAGACAUGGAAGAAACUAAGUGAGGGCACUCUGAAGAUAAAUAUUGAUGGCAGUUUUAACAAGGAAUCAGGAACGGGCGGUUGGGGAUAUGUUAUCCGAGACCAUGAUGGUGAUGUCGUAGUUGCCGCUGCUGGUCGUUUACUUCAUGCACUGGAUGCGCUACAGACUUAAGCUGAAGCUUGCAUUCAAGCAUUGUACAAGGCGCAGGAAUUAGGUAUUAGCCGAGCUAUGGUGGAAACGGAUGCGUUGCUGCUUGUCCAGGCGAUCGAGACGUCAAGUUAUGAUCUUUCUUCUAAUGGGGUUUUGUUUAGGGAAAUAUAAGCAUUUACAUCUCUGAACUUUAGUUCUUUUUCAAUUUCUUAUUGCCCUCGGGCUUGUAAUAAGGUUGCAGACGUUUUAGUGUUGCAUGGGUCGAAGAUGGUGCUUCCACCCCAAGCUGUAUGGGCGGGUCUGGCCCCUAUCUUUGCCCACGUUUUCGUAGCCAGCGUUUCUGCUCGGCACGUUGAUUAA
rnacentral:rRNA from 1 species